rnacentral:rRNA from 1 species
UACGAGGGGAGCAAGCGUUGUUCGGAUUUACUGGGCGUAAAGGGCGCGUAGGCGGUCGUGACAAGUCACUUGUGAAAUCUCCGGGCUUAACUCGGAACGGCCAAGUGAUACUGUCGGACUAGAGUACAGAAGGGGCAACUGGAAUUCUCGGUGUAGCGGUGAAAUGCGUAGAUAUCGAGAGGAACACCUGCGGCGAAGGCGGGUUGCUGGGCUGAUACUGACGCUGAUGCGCGAAAGCCAGGGGAGCGAACGGG